UACGGAGGAUGCAAGCGUUAUCCGGAAUGAUUGGGCGUAAAGCGUCCGCAGGUGGCUGUGUAAGUCUGCUGUCAAAGAGCAAAGCUCAACUUUGUAAAGGCAGUGGAAACUACACGGCUAGAGUGCGUUCGGGGCAGAGGGAAUUCCUGGUGUAGCGGUGAAAUGCGUAGAGAUCAGGAAGAACACCGGUGGCGAAGGCGCUCUGCUAGGCAGCAACUGACACUGAGGGACGAAAGCUAGGGGAGCGAAUGGG
rnacentral:rRNA from 1 species